CACAUAAGAUACUGGAUGCAUGGU
rnacentral:siRNA from 1 species